AUUGAACGCUGGCGGCAGGCCUAACACAUGCCAGUCGAGCGAGCGGCGGACGGGUGAGUAAUGUCUGGGAAACUGCCUGAUGGAGGGGGAUAACUCCUGGAAACGGUAGCUAAUACCGCAUACCAUCAGAUGUGCCCAGAUGGGAUUCGCUAGUCGGUGGGGUAACGGCUCACCUAGGCGACGAUCCCUAGCUGGUCUGAGAGGAUGACCAGCCACACUGGAACUGAGACACGGGCCAGACUCCUACGGGAGGCAGCAGUGGGGAAGAUUGCACAAGGGGCGCAAGCCUGAUGCAGCCAUGCCGCGUGUGUGAAGAAGGCCUUCGGGUUGUAAAGCACGUUCAGCGGGGAGGCGUUACCCGCAGAAGAAGCACCGGCGAACUCCGUGCCAGCAGCCGCGGUAAUUC
rnacentral:rRNA from 1 species